rnacentral:rRNA from 1 species
UACGUAGGGGGCUAGCGUUGUCCGGAAUCAUUGGGCGUAAAGCGCACGUAGGCGGCUUUGUAAGUUAGAGGUGAAAGCCCGGGGCUCAACUCCGGAAUUGCCUUAGUACUGCAUCGCUAGAAUUGUGGAGAGGUAAGUGGAAUUCCGAGUGUAGAGGUGAAAUUCGUAGAUAUUCGGAAGAACACCAGUGGCGAAGGCGACUUACUGGACACAUAUUGACGCUGAGGUGCGAAAGCGUGGGGAGCAAACAGG